rnacentral:antisense_RNA from 1 species
CUAUGAAAGUAUAACCUUUCCCUUUUUUCAAAAUAAGCAUUAGCGUCAUUAAAUUCAUUACUCCUCGCCCCCCUUUUUUUAUUGCUGGCAUCAUAUACACAAAAUUCAAUAAUAGAAAUGUUUAACUGUCUGAAAUUAUUUUCUGGCCAUUAUCAUCAUCAUUAUUAUUUAUUUCUUAAUUACUGAAAUAAUUUUGUUACUAUAGAAGAGGGGAGUAUUUUAAAAAAUCUACUCCUGAGCUGGGCAUGGUGGCUCACGCCUAUAAUCCCAACACUUUGGGAGGUCGAGGCGGGUGGAUCACCUGAGUCAUAUUUUCCAUUUAGUAAAAUGAACAUCUGGCUGCUGCAUGAUGCCUUUUGUGUACCGUCACCUAAGCCACAAUUACCUGCAAGGUAAUUCAUACCACUACAGCACGGUGCAAAAACUACAGGGUUGGUUUGGGAUGGUGAAAGUCAGCCAUCUUAGUUUCAAUCUUACAUGCAAAUUCUGAUGAAGAAAAGCCACUACCAGCAGGUCCACACACACUCACAAAGAACUCAUA